rnacentral:rRNA from 1 species
AUACGUAGGGUGCGAGCGUUGUCCGGAAUUACUGGGCGUAAAGAGCUCGUAGGUGGUUUGUCGCGUCGUCUGUGAAAUUCCGGGGCUUAACUCCGGGCGUGCAGGCGAUACGGGCAUAACUUGAGUACUGUAGGGGAGACUGGAAUUCCUGGUGUAGCGGUGAAAUGCGCAGAUAUCAGGAGGAACACCGGGGGCGAAGGCGGGUCUCUGGGCAGUAACUGACGCUGAGGAGCGAAAGCAUGGGUAGCGAACAGGAUUAGAUACCCUGGUAGUCCAUGCCGUAAACGGUGGGCGCUAGGUGUAGGGGUCUUCCACGACUUCUGUGCCGUAGCUAACGCAUUAAGCGCCCCGCCUGGGGAGUACGGCCGCAAGGCUAAAACUCAAAGGAAUUGACGGGG